GAUGGUAAAUAUUGUCAACUUGAUUGAAGGAUGCAAAGUAUUGUUCCCAUAUGUGUCUGUGAAGGUGUUGCCAAAGGAGAUUACCAUCUGAGUCAGUGGACUGGGAGAGACAGACCCACCCUCAGUCUGGGUGGGUACCAUCUAAUCAGCUACCCACACGGCUAGAAUAAAGCAGGCAGAAGAAAGUGAUCAACAGACUUGCUGAGUCUUCUGGCCUUCAUCUUUCUCCCGUGCUGGAUGCUUCCUGCCCCUGAACGUCAGACUCCAAGUUCUUCAGAUUAUGGACACUUGGACUUACACCAGUGGUUCACCAGGGGCUCUCGAGCCUUUGGCCACAGACUGAGCACCAUCCUAUUACAAAUCUGCCAGCCUACAGACUAGUAAAACGCGCUGACCCAAGAGAAAGCAAAAAGCGGCCCCUUUCCCCGGCUCCAGCGCUGCUCGGCCAGGCUUCACUUUUAAAGGCGAGCAUCAUUGGUUCAUGCGCCACAGGAAAUGGAGCCAUCACAGGACGGGCCAAAGACACCUGUCUUCUCAUCCCUCUUCUCACUUUUCACUUCAAAGGCACGCACCUCAUCAGGGAAGAAAAAGGAAAGCUGAGAGGAACUGAGACAGCAGUUUUAGGUGAUGGGUUAAUUAUGCACAGUUGUGCCUUCCUCUCUCCUUUCUCAAUCUUCGCCCCAAGUCCUGCCUCCAGGUUUAUGCUGCAGAGUGUCCGUGGAAGGGUGGCUCUUACAUGGUAGCUCUGAAAAGCU
rnacentral:lncRNA from 1 species